AUUGAACGCUGGCGGCAGGCCUAACACAUGCAAGUCGAACGAGCGACGGACGGGUGAGUAAUGUCUGGGAAACCGCCUGUAGGAGGGGGAUAACUACUGGAAACGGUAGCUAAUCCCGCAUUCCAUCAGAUGUGCGCCGUUGGGAUUAGCUAGUUGGUGGGGUAACGGCUAACCAAGGCGACGAUCCCUAGCUGGCCUGAGAGGAUGACCAGCCACACUGGGACUGAGACACGGUCCAGACUCCUACGGGAGGCAGCAGUGGGGAAUAUUUCACAAUGGGCGCAAGCCUGAUGGAGCCAUGCCGCGUGAGUGAAGAAGGCCUUCGGGUCGUAAAACACUUUCAGCGGGGAGGCGGUACCUACAGAAGAAGCAACGGCUAACUACGUGCCAGCAGCCGCGGUAAUAC
rnacentral:rRNA from 1 species